AGCGAACGCUGGCGGCAGGCUUAACACAUGCAAGUCGAGCGGGCACUUGCGGGUGUCCGCGGCGGACGGGGGCGGAACGCGGGGGAACGCGCCCGCAGGUGCGGAAUAACUCAGGGAAACUUGAGCUAAUACCGGAUACGACCUCUUGGGGCAAGGCUGGCUGCCGGAGGUACGGCCGGCGCCUGCGUAACCAGUUGGGGCGGGAACGGCUCACCAAGGCGGGGACAAGUAGCCGGUCAGAGAGGAAGAUCAGCCACCCUGGGGCUGGGACACGGCCCAGACUCCUAGGGAAGGCGGCAGUGGGGAAUAUAGGCCAGUGGGGGCUAGCCUGAUCCAGCCAUGCCGGGUGAGUGAUGAAGGCCUUAGGGUUGUAAAGCUAUUUUAUCCGGGGCGAUAAUGACGGUACCGGAAGAAUAAGCCCCGGCUAACUUCGUG
rnacentral:rRNA from 1 species